GAAGAUGAUGCUCAACAGAAUGAGGGAAUACUUGACGUGAAACAUAAAUCAAAUUUGAUCAUGAACUGCCAUUGUCAUUAUCAACAGAUCAAGAGAGAAAAAAUAGAAAGAAAUUGUAAUUACAGGAUUGCUGAGCUGGGCUUUCUCCAAUAAUAACAUGAUCAAAAUAAAAUAAAAGAAGUCCUUUUGGCCUCUGACAUCACAUUCUGGAGUGGAUGAUUUACCAGUUGGUCAUCUGCUGUGCUGCAAGAAUGAAUGUAGCUACUGUGGGCAGGUGAUAUUGCCAAGCACUUGGUGUUUGGGGCCAAAUGAUCAAGAGAACAGUCAAGGUUUAGAAGAAAAUUUAAAGGAAAUUUCCUGGGAAGCAGAAGACAGAUAAGUAUGAAGCAAAAUUCUAACAUUCCUAGAAAGUGUUAGACCUGUCAACCUCCAGGAAGGAUGAGAUCUGCUUCCACACUGCACAGUGUCCAGAAGAUCAGGACCAUGUGUCACUUGGUUCAAAGAUGACUUCUAAGUGGUACCUGGAGAUACUGAAGUAGGUCAUGUGGUUUUGUCUUUAUUUUCAGAAGAAUAUAUUAUGUUUCAUAACUCUAUGUUUUUCUAUAUUAUCCACAGAAAAAGAGCAUGAGUCUUUCUGAUUCUAGGAAGUACUUCUGUCCUAAACCAACAGUAGUUUCAGCUAAAUUCUUAUAUUUCAGGCCAUGUUCUCAGGUAUACAACACAUAAAUGAAUGAAAUACUUAUUCACAAGACAAUAUGCACCCUUUUCUCUUAAAGAAAUAAACAUGUGGCACAUUUCAGACAGAAGCUAAACACAAAAGUUUUUGCCCAAAAAUACAA